UAACAUUUUUUCCUUUGCAGAUCCAUACCAGCUGAGGAAUGUGGCAUUUACUUUAUCUAAUACUCGCUUAGCUGAGUUGCAUCAUCGCCUCGAGAAACUUCGCACAUGUUCUGGAGCAGAUAGCUGUGAUGAUUUUCCAAGUUCACGUGGAAGCGAUAACAGCUUUGAAGAUCCCCAAAUACUUGAGCAAAGUGAUGACCAUUCUCUUAUGAACAAUGUUGUGGGUCCAGUAAGAAAACUAUCAAAAGCAGAACGCUUACAAGAGCGAAUGGAGAGACGCAGGCAACGAAAAUUACAGAAAAAAUUAAGACGCAAAUAUUCAGGAAACCAGUUAUAUGGAGCUAGGAGUAGACAUGUCCUGGAUUCCAUGGGAUCAAGGAAACACAAAGUACGUUUGCCAAGAAAGAGUCGUCUGGGAAAGGAACAAAGAAGGCAGAAAAGAAGAGAGCGAAGGAGAAAGAAGAAAUCAAGAAAAGAAAGACUUUUAUCUAGUGGAUAGUGUCUAAGAAUAUUUCUAUUAAUUUUAUCCAAUAUUAACAUGAUUCAUCACAUAAGGUGAUGGUUUAUUUUAAGUAAAGUAGACUAGUUUAGUAUUUUAUAUUUGUUAUGUAGCUGCAACAUAGACGGUAAGAAAUGACUGCUACAUAUUAUCACUAAAUAGGAUUAUUACACAUUAGAAAGAAAUAGACAGCACUAGAAUUUUGUCUGUGUCUAUUACAGCUAGAUAAUGAAUUAUCAUAUAUCAAGAAAACAUAGAAUAUCUGACUCAAGAAAUACGGAACUGAAAAAUGGAAGUAAAUGCAGAAUUUAGGACAUCUCUUGUUGCAAAGAUAUUAAAUGAUAUUGAUUCAGAGGAAUUAGAAAAGUACUUAGGAUUUCUGUGCAUUGAAAAGGCUACCAUGUUUGGCAUCAUACUAUUUGGAGGAAGCCAGGCACAGGAGGUAGCACUGUAGUAGUAUUCAUUAUACUCGUUAGAUGUGUUCAUGUAUUAUAAGUAUAUAGUCAUAGAGGCUUUUAAGUAUAGGAUUACCAUUAUUUAUAUGUGAAUAUUAUUUUUAUGGACUCAGAAGGCUUUUAAUUAGCUGAAUAAUUUAAACAUUCUUUAUUUUCCAUCAUUCUCAGAACUUGAUAAGACAAUACUUUUACCUUAAGUACUCAUAGUUCACAUUACCCACCUGUGCUUUCAUGCCCCAAGCUAAUCCCUGAGAAGUAAAGGGUUUUAAUGCCUAAAGCUGCUUGUAGGCCAGUAGAAAGUUAUGAUAAGAGAUAUAUAAAAUCAAAAGUUGUAGAAUAUUGCAAGUAUAAUGACAUGAAAAAAUAUUGAUUUAAAUUGUUAAGUUUAGUAUUUACACUGCACUUUAAAGAAAUUAAAAUGUGUAACAACUUCAUUUUGAUAAUGAAAAGAUUGGAUUAGUUAUACUGGAACUUAAAAUAUCCACAAAAAAUCACAGUAUGAUCAAAUCAUUCCAUGUUCCUUGUUUCUUAUAUAUAUUUUUUUUAAAUCUUAGUAUGAUUGAAUUAUUCCAUGUUCCUUUUUUUGAUACACAGUACAUUAGCAGAUAUUAGGUAAUACAGGUACACAGAAUCAAAGAUACAAACACAGCCUAGGUUAUUAGCAUGACUUUUGUAAUCAUUGUCAUUAGUCUCAUUAUUAUUGUUAUUAUUUUUAUGAUAAGUGUGGUUAUUGUUAGUUUUGUUAUAUUACUAUUGUUAGUAUUAAUGUAUUACCCUUAUUAUCUUUUUUGUUAUUAUGAUUCCUCCUUUCAUCAGAGAAUUAAUAUAGAUCAUCAUUUUCUACUGGCACACAGAUCAGCUGUUCAGUAAUAAUCCUGGUGCUUUUAGCCAUCUGGCACUUUGCAAGUUAUUGUAAAGCUUAUAAUUUUUUUCCAAUACUUUAAGUGAAAUGAUUAUAUAUCCCAUUCAUGUACCCCAUCAAACAAAAUUAAAUUAUAAUAAGCUAUUUUUAGCCUUUUGUAUUUAGUAGUUUUUGUUACCAUUCUGUGAUAAACCAUUAAAAUCUCUUCACAUCUUAAUAUUUAUUUGUUUAAUCAUUAUAUGGUUGAAAAUGUAAAGCCUAGUAUACAAGUCCAAUGCUAGAAGUAAAAAAAUGAUUAGUGAAGUAUAUAAUUUUUCAAGCAAAAGUAUAUGAUAGGUCAUAUGUUUUGCUAUUGUUGCGUAAUACUUAUGAACAUGAAUUUUAUGACAAAAUUGUGUUCUUUCUCCUAAUCACCAACUGCCAAGUUCUUUUUACCCUGACAUAGUUACAUGUGUAGUGCUUUGCUUUUACAAUAUAUGAAACUUGUCUCUUGAAAUAUGAUUCAAAUUUGACUGAGUUUUACUCAAGAAAGUAUCUGGAUUUCCUGAGAAGAAUGUUACUUUGCCAAUGGAAAAUCAAGUAUUAUAAUUAAUGUUGUAACUGCUGUCUUAACUAAUGUUGUUCCCAGGUCUGAAAAUAUAAACUAUUUACACUCUUUGGUAACUUUUGUGUAUGAUAUUAAUAUGAGUAUUAAAACUCAUAAAUUGUCAGAUCUUUCAAAAGAAAUUUGGUUGCUCCUCUUUGUCAGACCUAAGGAUCAAUCACAUAGUACAAUUAGCAAAGUUUUAAGAACGUUCUGUAUAUUAGGUAAGAGAAUGUAAGACUGAAAUUUGAAACUGCUUUAAUUGACUCAAAUAUACUUACAGAAUUAUAUUUGUAAAUUACCAUUAUAAGUUUGCUGUUUUUUAUCUCUGUUAUAGAAACUCCCUGGUCAGGUGGUAUUCUGAGGAAGUAUCACAUUAUGCUGAAAUGUGAUGAUUUUAGAUCCCUGCUCCUGUAAUUGUUCUUACUGGAUUACACUAGAUGUCAAAUAUAAAGAAUUAACAACACUGUUGGUAUCCUUCACUGUAAGAAACUUGGUUGACCUUGCUUUCAUGAAAUUAAAACAAUGAUUUUAGAAAUAUCGUCUACUCAAAAGUAAAUCGUCUGUUAAUCACAUUCAUAAUCAAGACAGCUAAUAUCUAGAUAUACAUAAUAUUUGGAACUGUUAUAGUCUAAUUUGUCAAAUUAUUCCUAAAUGAUAUAGUGAUAGGUAACCCAUUCGCGCCGGAUGUCACAUAUAUGUGAUAUGCCCACUGUGAGUUUGCUUGUUUAAUUGUUUUUACACAUAGAUGGCUACACUUGUUGGGAGUACUGCCUGUCUUGUGUUUACCCGUUUCUUUAAUUUAUGAAAAUAUUUUACGAUAUCUUACUUUGCUGUUACUAAUGUUUUUAACAUUAUAGUAAUUAUGUUUAUAAUAAAAAUAACCAUCGAUAUUCAUAGCACUAGUAAAAAAUACAUUUUCCCACCAAAUGAAAUCAGGUAAGGCAGAGCCAUCUAUGUGUAGAGAUAUUUCACAAAAAGUAUAAAAAAUGAACACAGCAUUUUCCCCAUUUUUUGUUCAUUUUUACCCAUUAUGAAUGAGUUAAUGAUGAUAUUGUAUUUUUAUGCUUGGUUAAGGAAUAUUAAGGUAAUAAGGUCUUAUGAGUUUAUUAGCACCAUUAAUUGCCAGUAACAUAGAUGAAUGUAAAAAAAAAUCCUAUAUUCUUAAAUUUCAGCAGCAUGAUACCUCUAAAUGAACUGAGUGUGCACUUUGCUUGCAUGGAUGCAGGUAAUUACUAUGGGUAUAUCAGUAGCUUGCACUGUGACAUAUCAGGAGUAUUAAAUUGUGCUGUUUAGAACAGUAAUAUAUCCUGGUAGCAGAGAAAGUAGUAUACAAACUGCAACUAAAGUAUUAAAUGCUGAUUUGUGAUUGUCAAACUGGGCCUAUUUCUGAACAAAAAGUAUUUGAGUAGUAUUUUCUUUCUUUUCUUUUUCUUUUUCUUUGAGACUGCACAGACAGACAGAGACCUAAAGAGAGAAAGAAAGAGAGAAAGAGAAAAUAAUUCCAAACGCUGCCAUCAUAGUUCACCCAAGAUGGCAAACAUCCUUGAACAUUGUCUCCAGCUUCUCAUUUAUCUUGGUUAUCAUGGUUCAGAGGGGUGACAACAAAGAAAUGGAAAAACAGUUCACAUAACAGCUAAGUGAUUUUUAAAAUAUAUUCAGUAGUUAUAAGUAUUACACUUGUAAUUUUCAAUUGCUGUGCCAUUUGUGUAAUAUAAUUUGUCAAAAGCAGGUUGUUUCGUUAUUGUUGGUGCUUGUCAGAGGCUUGUCUUCAUAGUUCACUAAUAGAAUAAUAAUGUUACAAUAUGCAGUGAAGUAUUCUGGUUUGCAUAAACAAAUAUAUAUUAGUCUAUAACUGAUUUGUAAAUAAGUUAUGUAUAUAUCUGUAAUACAAAAUGCAAUUUCUAAGUAUUUGUCAACAUUAAAAAUUCCAAUUAAGUAGAGAAAGUUCUUUGGUCUUUUCUUACUUUGGUUUAAUUUUGUUUUAGUAAUCAUUAAUCUUGCAUUUAUCAUUUACUGACAUAAGUCUUUGGCAAUGUAAUUCCUAGGGAAAUGUUUUCACCUGUGAGAGUUUAGAGGUUUGCCUUGAAUGCAUGACAAAUACCUCCUCAAGGAUUGUACAAUAUUAGGUUACUGUAAACAUACUCGUUAAUGAUGUACCUUUUUGAAAUAAAAUUCAUGUAAUGAU